rnacentral:rRNA from 1 species
UACGGAGGGUGCAAGCGUUAUCCGGAUUUACUGGGUUUAAAGGGUGCGUAGGUGGGUAAGUAAGUCAGUGGUGAAAUCUCCGAGCUUAACUCGGAAACUGCCAUUGAUACUAUUUAUCUUGAAUUAUCUGGAGGUAAGCGGAAUAUGUCAUGUAGCGGUGAAAUGCUUAGAUAUGACAUAGAACACCGAUUGCGAAGGCAGCUUACUACGGAUAUAUUGACACUGAGGCACGAAAGCGUGGGGAUCAAACAGG